CGACUUCUGAAUCCCAUAAUCUGGAGCUUCUUCAUCUUAUAAAACGUUACUUCCUCCUAGUUGACAGCUAAACCUUCUCCACUCAAAUGAGAUCCCUAAGACUUGCUAUCUUUCUUAUUUUCUUCUUCUGCUUUGCUCUGGUUGGGCAUGGAAGAGUAAACUCCAAUGGACUAGAGGUGGGUUCCUUUAAAUCCUUCAAUUUGGGAAGGUCUGGGUGCCAAAAAGUGGACGUUGAGUGCAAAGAGGGUGAAGGCAGAAAAGAGAACGUUUUUGAACAUGAAGAUUAUGUCUACACUCAAUCUCUCCCUUAGUGCAAAUCCCAUGCAAUCUCAAUUUCCUACUUCAAUGGCUGAGAUAAUUGGGGGAAUUGCAACCUGUGUCUAUAGCUAAUUUGUCAAGUAGCUCUAGCUGCAGCAACUCACAAGUCUCCUUUGUGGAAACUGCAACUCAUCUGAAGAUGACAUUUCUGGUUGCGUAAUAAAUAAUGCCUUUGUAUUUGCAAGAAUAAUGAAAAGGUCUUGGUGUGAAAAGAAGUGGAUGUUAAGUGCAAAGAGAAAAUAAAAUGUAUCAAAUAUGAAGAAGGCUGUCUAACACUAAACAAUUCUCUUCUGUUGU